rnacentral:rRNA from 1 species
CCUACGGGAGGCAGCAGUGAGGAAUAUUGGUCAAUGGCCGGAAGGCUGAACCAGCCAAGCCGCGUGAAGGACGAAGGUGCCAAGCAUUGUAAACUUCUUUUGUCAAGGGACAAAAUCAGGCUCGAGAGCCUGACCGAGGGUACUUGAAGAAAACGCAUCGGCUAACUCCGUGCCAGCAGCCGCGGUAAUACGGAGGAUGCGAGCGUUAUCCGGAGUUAUUGGGUUAAAAGGGUGCGUAGGCGGACUGUUAAGUCCGCGGUAAAAGCCCGGGGCUCAACCCCGGCGAGCCGUUGAAACUGGGUGGCUUGAGAUGUCGAGAGGUAUGCGGAAUGCGCAGUGUAGCGGUGAAAUGCGUAGAUAUUGCGCAGAACUCCGAUUGCGAAGGCAGCAUACCGGCGGCGAUCUGACGCUGAGGCACGAAAGCGUGGGUAUCGAACAGGAUUAGAUACCCGUGUAGUC